UACGUAGGGGGGCAAGCGUUGUCCGGAUUUAUUGGGCGUAAAGAGCGUGUAGGCGGUUCGGUAAGUCUGUCGUGAAAUCCUGAGGCUCAACCUUGGACGUGCGAUGGAUACUGCCGGGCUAGAGGAUGGUAGAGGCGAGUGGAAUUCCCGGUGUAGCGGUGAAAUGCGCAGAUAUCGGGAGGAAUACCGGUGGCGAAAGCGACUCUCUGGACGGCAACUGACGCUGAGGCACGAAAGCGUGGGGAGCAAACAGG
rnacentral:rRNA from 1 species